UGCGUGAGUUCCUUCUGCCAAGCAGAGCAGCACAGCUGCAAGACACCCUGCUUCUGGCUCUGAGCUUUGCUUGUCUUCAGGGAUGGAGCCCCUCCCAAGGCAAGUUCAACUGGGUUCUUUGGCAGCCGAAGUCUACACGGACCCUGCAGGGAGCGGUGGAGAAAAAUAUAUUGAUCAUGAGGAGAGGGCUCACCCCUCACCCGGAGAAGUAGUUGGGGAAGCAAUAUGCGGAAACAAAGCCAUGAAUCUGACAAGAAAUGUACUUAAGAUUGUAUAUAUGGAGAUGAAUACCCAUUGUCCUUUGCACUUUCUGGAUGAUAAAUUAGAAAAGAAAAAUCCAAAGAAUGAAGUUGUGCUAUUUGUCCUCACUUCUGAUUUGGGAAACUAGAGGAAAUUAAGAUGGGAAAAGACCAUGUGAGGACACAGUGAGAAGGAGACCAUAUGCAAAGCAGGAAGGAAGAUCUCACUGGAACCAAAAACCAGCCCUGCUGGCACCCUGAUCUUGGACUUCUAGCCUUUCUCAGAACUGUGAGAAAAUAAAUUUCUGAUGUUUCAGCCACUC
rnacentral:lncRNA from 1 species